ensembl:lncRNA
CUACAUUAUCACUGUGAACUGUGACAUUGCUCUCUUGGCUUCUGUGGCCAGACAUGAGGGCUCUGAAGGUGUGCUGCCUCCUGUGGAACUGUGAAUGAGCUUGUGUCACACGAAGCAUGUGAAUGGAGUGAGAAGACAGUAGGAGGACAUUGUGACAUUGCCCUCCCAAUGGAGACAUGGAAAUGUUGACAAUCACAGUGGAGUUUCUUCCAGAUCAAUGAAUGGUUCUUGUAAAGCAGCUCCUGGACUGGACUACUGAGACCAACCAUGAGCCCACCAGACUGGUGCCUUCCAACCAACAGACAAAAGUAUCCACUCUGCGAAUGAUACAUAGAUAUCUACAAAGAAUACCAGGAUGGAUACAGAGUUUCUUCAGUUCCAUGAAUGAGGGAUUCAGCAGGUGAGAUGGCAGCAGAUAAAGGUGAUUGUUGCCAACUCCCUACACCUGAGCUCCUUCCUAGGACCUACAUGAUUGACGGAAAGAACAAACCUCUCACAACUUGUCCUCAGAUUUUUAUGUAGUUGGAUUUUUCCGGUCUUGGUCCACAGAAGCAAAGACAUCAGGUUUUCCAAUUCCAUUUGACACGGGACCAGUACCUUCAACCGAAUGUUCCUUCCUGGAAAGCUGCAGCCUGUCAGCGUGGCUCAGUGGUUUGUGAACUGCAAGUUCCCAUCUGGGAAGGUGGUCGUGUUCAUCCAGCCCACCUGCCCCUAUUGCAGAAAGACCCAAGAAAUCCUCAGUCAACUGCCUUUCAAACCUGGUCUUAUGGAUUCGUGAACAUCACAGCCACUAACAACAUCAAUGAGAUUCAAGAUUAAUUACAACAGCUCACUGGAUGGAGAACAGUUCCUCAGGUCUUCAUAGGUAAAGAAAGACUGCAUAGGCAGACACAGCGAUCUGAUCUACAUGCAACAGAAUGGGGAGCUGAUUACCCAGCUGAAGCAGAUUUGAGCUCUGCAGUUAGGAAAGGGGUGCAGGCAGAGCCCAUGCCGAGAGCCAUCAUCCAGCCAUUCCGACGGCCAGUGCCCCUGAGAGAUGAUGUGCAUCACAGAGGAUGUCACUACUUUUUGGUGAUGGGGAUUUUCAACAAAUUGGCUUUUAUUUCUUCUUUUCCUCAGUGCUAAAACCUGUUGCCGUUUGCCUUUAACCAUGGGGCUGAGAAGCUUAACAGACAACACUGGCUUGAUUUUCCACUCUUCAUGUGCUGACACGUCUCUGCCUCUAAGCCCAUGUUUCCCAUCCAGUUGAUCUAAAUCCCCAUUGAAUCUGUCUCUGGUUUCCUGCCAUGCUGGUCAGCUCAAGUCAUUUUGCAGACGUCCACUUCCUGAAUGGUUAUUAAAUCAAUGGAUAUUGUGAAUUUGUUUAUGACCCACACUCAGGCCUUUCCCUCCCUCCUGCAAGCACCGUCCCACUUCUCCAUUCACAGCUCUCAGCCAGUGUUCUCAACCUUGCCCUCCCACAACCCACAGAAGUUCACACUUGUAAGAGCACGCUGUUUGAAAAAUCAGAUGAAGAGCUUUAGCAUACUUGGUCCUCACUGUAGCCAUAAUAACAUAGACGACAGAGCUGAUGGUUCAUUCAUCUCUAUUCGUACAGGAGAUUAAGAAAAUCCCAAGAAGUUUUAUGUUGAUCCUAGUCAGAGUACCAGCAAAGUCAAAUAUGAAAUGCAAAAUUGCAGAGCACUCCUACCAAGAAUAUCUGUAUAAAAACUUGUUUGCAAAACACUGUCCUAAAUAAUUUCCUCCAUUCACACUUUGACAUUUUGUUUUGAUGUCUUGCUAUGACACUUAAGUAUCAUGGAACUGUAGG